rnacentral:lncRNA from 13 species
UUUUAUUGUAGGAAGAGAAACUGAGAUGUUAGACUGUGAUGUGCUCAGAAUUAAACAAGAAAUAUUAGAUGAAAUGGGGUAUUGGCUUUUUUUUUUUUUGCAUUCUUGGGCACUGCGAGAUGCAGCAGUAUGAAAAGAGAUCCCUCUUUCUUCAGUUAAAAGGAAGGAUAGAACUAUGCUUUCGCUAUCCUGGGGACGUUGGCAAUGGAGUAACCAACAGGACCUAAACCAACCCUUGAAUAUUUGAUCCUGGUAUUUGAGUUGUACAGGGGUUCAUGGGGCACCAAGAAGAAAUCUCAGCUGCUGCUGUAGCAUCUACAGCAAGGCAGAUAAAUUAGUACAUGGCACGGGGAAACCUGGAAGUCACUCAACUCUGAAAUGUAACAAAACUAUUAAAUAUAACAUCCAUUUGCUAAGUGCUCGCUUGUGAUUUAUGGCUACUGCUCUGAGACUUGCAAAAAUCGCUUAAAGGGGAUGCCAGGUGGACCCUUGUGAUUUCCACCUCUAUACAACGCCAUCUAGCAAUCCUUCUUCUUAGUACCAAAUCAGUGACAGCACAAAGGAAAAUAGACACUUAAAUGAAAAUUCUUGACUUAUGCCGUUUGUUUUUAUCCCUGUGAGGGAU